AACGAACGCUGGCGGCAUACCUAACACAUGCAAGUCGAACGAGAUCUUCGGGUCUAGUGGCGCACGGGUGCGUAACGCGUGGGAAUCUGCCCUUUGGUUCGGAGUAACAGUUGGAAACGACUGCUAAUACCGGAUGAUGACGAAAGUCCAAAGAUUUAUCGCCAGAGGAUGAGCCCGCGUAGGAUUAGCUAGUUGGUGUGGUAAAGGCGCACCAAGGCGACGAUCCUUAGCUGGUCUGAGAGGAUGAUCAGCCAAACUGGGACUGAGACACGGCCCAGACUCCUACGGGAGGCAGCAGUGGGGAAUAUUGGACAAUGGGCGAAAGCCUGAUCCAGCAAUGCCGCGUGAGUGAUGAAGGCCUUAGGGUUGUAAAGCUCUUUUACCCGGGAUGAUAAUGACAGUACCGGGAGAAUAAGCUCCGGCUAACUCCGUGCCAGCAGCCGCGGUAA
rnacentral:rRNA from 1 species